GGGGUUGUGGCUCAGUGAUAGAGUGCUCAUCUAACAUAUGUGAGGCCCUAGGUUCGAUCCUCAAUACCUCA
rnacentral:tRNA from 1 species